rnacentral:lncRNA from 1 species
UUCCUUCUUACCUCAGACUUCGUUGUUCUACUUCUCCCUCACUUAGUUUUAUAUCUCAUCUGGAGUACUAUAUUGAUGCAUUUAUUUUGUUCCUUUUUCGGUGUUGCUGGGUAAACUCUCUUUUGCUGUUUCUUUUUUCAUUCUUUUCAAUGAGUUAUGGGUAUUCUAUUGAUAUGGUUGGAACGACUACGAAAUGGCUAUUUAAAGUCACUGAAUGCUGGGUUUUUUCUAUUUUUGUUCAUAUUUUAUUUGAAUUGCUGUUGAAGAAAGAUCUAUGCCCCAAAUUUUGUAUUGUGAUUUUACUACAAAGCCUUGAAUCUGUUGCAGGUGAUUUGUUCCUCGUGACAGUUUUUAAGCUCCUAUGCAGCUU